rnacentral:rRNA from 1 species
UUGGAGGGCAAGUCUGGUGCCAGCAGCCGCGGUAAUUCCAGCUCCAAUAGCGUAUAUUAAAGUUGUUGCAGUUAAAAAGCUCGUAGUUGAACUUCGGGGUUUGCUCAUUGGUCAGGCUUAGGUGUCUGCACUGGUGAGAUGGAUCCCUACCUUCUGAGGAACUUUCAUGCCAUUUAUUUGAUGUGAUUGGAAAUCAGGACUGUUACUUUGAAAAAAUUAGAGUGUUUAAAGCAGACUAUCGUCUGAAUACAUUAGCAUGGAAUAAUGAAAUAGGACGGACUGAUUCUAUUUCGUUGGUUUCUAGGAUCACCGUAAUGAUUAAUAGGGAUAGUUGGGGGCAUUAGUAUUCAAUUGUCAGAGGUGAAAUUCUUGGAUUUAUUGAAGACUAACUACUGCGAAAGCAUUUGCCAAGGAUGUUUUCAUUAAUCAAGAACGAAAGUUAGGGGAUCGAAGACGAUCAGAUACCGUCGUAGUCUUAACCAUAAACUAUGCCGACUAGGGAUCGGACGAAGUUAAUUUUAUAAUGACGCGUUCGGCGCCUUACGGGAAAC